GGCUGGUCCGAAGGUAGUGAGUUAUCUCAACUGAUUGUUCACAGUCAGGACAGAUUGAACUCCUUGUUCUGCUCUUUCCCCCCUUCUCACUACUGCACUUGACUAGUCUUUA
ensembl:misc_RNA Y_RNA Y RNA